GUUAAGGCAACUUUCAUUCUCAUGAAUCCUCAACCAUGGUAUUAGAGAAAGUUUGCCCUGAUGUAUAGACAAAGAAUUAAUGUUUUAACCUUGUUAACUUUACAAAAGGGACUUCUUUCCAACAGUAGGUAAAGUAAGAUUAUAUCUUACCCUUAAGUCAGUCGAAAAACAGCCUUUGCAUUUGAUACUGGAUUAUACUGAACAAUGGAGGAUGGUCGCUGGCUUCCCCAUCAACUUAUAGUCUUGUUCUCCCAUGCUUGUGAGGAUGCAGAGCAAUGUUAAGCACCCCAUGGUUUCUGCAAAGAAAGAAUAUGCUGCUCCUCCUCCUCGCCCUCUCCCUCCUGCUGCCAAGGAAGUAGCUCCAGUGGCUAAGCCCCCUCCAAUUGGACCCAAGCAUGGAGCCAAGAGACGUACCAGAGACGCCAUAAAUUGAAGCGGGGAAGCUGUUUAGGCUUUUAAAGGCUCUUUCUAGAGCUUUCCAGGGCCUAUUUCUUCAUUUUCUUCAUGAAAGGGCUUUUUCAUUUUUGCGAAAACAGCUUGGUUUACGUAUUUUUCAUUUUAAACAAAUUCAUGAGACCAGUAGUUACAUGCAGAGAGCAAUUUUUUAAGGUUAGCAAUCAUAAAUAUGUAGGUUAAAAAGAUAUUAUUUUUCCUAAAUUCAUAUUAGUAAUUUAGUUCGCUUCUGGUUUUGAUUGUGUGUUAAUGGACUGUUGCAGUAGAGGUAAAUAUAGAUUGAUGUGCUGCUUCUCUCCCCUCUUCCUUGUCCUUCUUAUAUUUACCUUUACAGAUCUGCAACAGUCCAUUUUCCUUCUCCUUGAGCUUUAUAUCAUCGUGAUGAUGGAUCACAGACUCUGAUCCCAAACUUAUGCAAACAAACACACACAAUCAAAACCACAAGCCAAUUAAAUUACUAAUAUGUAUGUUUCUUAUAUGCAACUUUUAAAUAUUCUAUUUCUCGUUUUUGGUAAUAUAGUUUUAAAAUUUGGAA